AUUUCCAAUGGUAGCAAUGGAAAUAAUUUUAUGGAUGGGGGUCACCACAACAUGAGGAACUGUAUUAAAGGGUUGCGGUGUUAGGAAGGUUGAGAACCACUGUCUUAACGGAUGGACCCUCUGCUGAUUUCUAGCCAUGCCAGUCUGGAUGCUUAGUGCCAUGACGUGCUCCUCAAUGUGUGCUUUCUCCUUUCAGAUGUUGAGACCCGUAUUGAUACUCGUGGACUGUCCACUGUGGCUGCUUCUGGAAUUAUCAUUGGGUGCAUAGUGGCAUUGGUGGUCCUGGUUGCAGUGGCUUACUUCGCUUCCCGUUCUUCUCAUCAAGGAGAUGGGACCCCAUCCAUGAACACGCGUUCCUACUAGAAGAGGUUCCCUGAAGCUUUUGAUGAAUGACACCUGGCAAAGGGAAGGCGGAGGAGUAAAAGGGACAACUAACAGUGUGACCUGAUGAGGACAUUUGAUGAUUAAAGUCCUGUUGAUGCCA